rnacentral:lncRNA from 1 species
GCCUCUCACAUUGCAAGACUAUUCUUUAGAGAGAUUGUUCAACUACAUGGAGUUCCACAAUCCAUUACCUCCGAUAGGGAUUCUAAAUUCCUAAGUUAUUUUUGGAUUACCUUGUGGAAGAUGUUUAAUACUUCCUUGAAGUUCAGUAGCACUGCUCACCCACAGACAGAUGGACAAACGGAAGUGGUUAAUAGAAAGCUUGGAAAUUUGAUUUGGUGUAUUUGUGGGGGCAAGCCAAGGCAAUGGGAUCAUGCCUUACCACAAGUUGAAUUUGCUUACAAUAAUGCAACCCAUAGUGCUACUGGUAAGUCACCAUUUUCAUUGGUAUAUCUUAAGCAGCCACGACAUGCAGUAGGUCUCGUACGCUUACCUUAGAUACAAGGGAAGAGUAUUGCAGCAGAGAACAUGGCAGAACAAGCUCAGGCCGUACAAGCACAGGUCAAGCAGAGGUUGGAAGAAACUAAUGCCAAGUAUAAAGCAGCAGUAAAUAAACAUCUUCGGCAUAAGGAGUUUCAAGAAGGGGACAUGGUGAUGGUGUUCUUGCGCAAGGAAAGGUUUCCAGUUGGAAUCUAUAACAAGCUCCAACCAAAGAAGUACGGGCCAUAUAAAGUCUUGAAGAAGAUCAAUAGCAAUGCUUAUGUUAUUGAUUUACUAGAAGAUAUGGAGAUCUCAAAGACCUUUAAUGUUGCUGAUUUAUAUGAUUAUCAUUGUCAAGAAGAACCCCUUUAUCCCAACAGUAACUCGAGGGCGAGUUCUUCUCAAGUAGAGAGGAACUGAUGUAGAACAACCUGCCUUAAUUACCUGAGUUAUUUAGACUUGAAGAAAGUCAGGAAGGAAGCCAGGAGAUUUCUGUUUACAGCAUCAGCAUACGUUUUUCUUAUUUUUUAUUCUAGUUGGACUAUGUUCUAAUUUAUUUCCUACAUAUUUAAUUGGGCUAUGUUUUAAGACUUUUUUUUUUUGGGCUUUGUUAGGUUUAUUAUGUAGCCUAUUUAAAGACCUUUUAAACCAUUUAGAAGGAUUAUUAUUAUUUGCCGUCAAAUUUUUAUCACAGGUUUUUUUUUUCUGGUGGAUUCUAGUUUUCAUUGGAAUUAAUGUUUGUUAAUUCAACUUCUUGUCGUCCAUUGAGUCAAUUAGCCUUGGCGAUUUCUUGCUGAAUUUGGCUUAUAUGAGUCCAAAUUUCUUGUUUCAAUUUCAUGUACACCCCAAUUAAAAUAUGGCACCUCACCCCAUGUUCCCUAGGAAGAACAAAUGUGGAAGGAUCUCGAGUCCAGCCUCCAUAGUGACAAUGGCGAGGAACAGGUGGUGGCUUUUGGUUGCGAUAGGGGUAGGGCGUAGGAUGGAGUAGUGGUGGACAGGAUGGAGAAGAUGAUUUUUUUUCCUUCUUUUUUCUUUAUUUGUUUUAAAUGGUUUGAUUAAAGAGACCAUUUGUGUAGCGUCCCAAAACCUAUGUCUCAAAAGUUACUCAAAUAAUUCAUUUAGCUAUUUUAGAAGUUGAUUGACACAUUGUAAUACAAAAAAAUUGAAAAAACUUUGCGAAAUAAAAUAAGCUAUUUUAUUGUCUCAUAAUAUGUUAAAUAAAUUCAAUUCAUUGAUGAAAUACAAAUUCAUCGAUUUUGAAAAUAAAAAUCUGAUUGCAAAAUAAUUUUGAAUUAAAUACUAAGCCCUUGUUUGAUUCCUGUUAUUUACAGAAUAUAUUUCUCUUUUUUCUUUUCAAACACAUAUUUUUCAAUAAAAUAAUAUUAUACGUAAACUCAAAAUUUUUCAUUAUUUUUUAACUAUACAUUUUUCAUCAAUCUACUAUUUCAAAACGUAUUCUUAAAAAAUAAUGGGGCUCCAACAGACACUAAAUAUUGAAAGAAAAUAAAUCUUUUGACCCAACAAGAUGAACUUUGUCAACAGACUCAAUCUCCCACUCCGAUCGAUCAAACACCUGAAAAUAUUUUAAAUAUGAAAUGAGCAUAUGAAUACACGCAAUACAUAUUCAUGCCAGUAUUUUGACAAUUUAAUAUAAACAACAAGUAAAAUACGCAGAUAACAUAAUUUUCUAGUGGGAUAGAAACAUGAUCAUCUUAUUCUCACUUAGGUUAUACUCAUUCACAAUCAUAGCCAUAUGGUUGAUUUAUGUGUAGAACUACAUAAGAAUACCCCAAUGUUAUUACCCAUUAAAUCAUUUUUAAUUUGGAUCACAUAAUAACACAUAAAUACUUAACUUAAAAACAUUAGAAAGUGAAAAUAGAAAACCACUUGGCCAAACAUACCUUAUUCGUUAAAUUUCUAGUAUACUUGAGUUACUUACGAUGGAAAAUCUUUUGAGAGAAUCUCGGACGCGCCAGAAAACCUUUUAUUUUCUCUCUCUCUCUCUUCUUUUUCUCUCUUUCUCAUAGUUUCUCCCCCUCUCUUCCUUUUCUCUCUUUCUAUUCUUUUUCAUCUGAAUUUGUGUAAAUUAAAGUGCAACAACAAGAGGGUAUUUAUAGGUAUGAUUAUAUAAUGAUAGUUACCUUGAUUAGAAUUUUAAUAGGAGUCUUUAUUUAAAUUUAGAUUGAUCUUUCAACAAACAAACUUAUCAUGAAAUUCAAAUUUAAGAAAAUUUUAAUUACAUGAGGAUACGAAUCCAGUGUGGAUAUAUGUAAAUUUCAAGUUUAAUCUAAAUACUUUUAUAUCAGAUAAUUUAAUAAUAAUUUAAUAGAUAUCCAAAAUAAUAUUAAAAUUUAAUUUCGUGUAAAACUCAUAUGUAUCCAAUUAAUAGGAAUAUUAACACAAGGUCCCCAUAAAAUGGUGAAACUAUUAAGUUACCCUAAGAUCUCAAAACUAGCAUUUAUGCCUUAUAAUAUAUUGCACGAAUGUUUGGGGUGUUACAUCAUCCACUCCUUAAAAAAUUUCAUCCCUAAAAUUUACCUUGGUUAUCAAAAAGCUGUGGAUAUUUAGCUUUAAUAUCUACCUUACAUUCCCAAAUGGACUCCUUAACAGCAUAAUUCCACCACUAAACUCUUACCAAUGUCUCUAUUCCGAAGUAUUGGAAUCUUCCUAUCUAAGAUGACUAUGAGAGCUUCCUCGUAAGUUAGAUCUAGAUAAAUGUCUAACGAUUGAGGAUUAAUCAUGUGGCCAGGAUUUGAUAUGUAUUUUCGUAUUAUAAAGACAUGGAAAACAUUGUGUAUUGCUGAAAGUUUGGGAGGUAAUGCCAGCUCAUAAGCCACAGUUCCCAAACUUUUUAAAAUCUUAAAAGGUCCUAUAUACCUCGGUUGGAGCUUUUCCGUUUUGCCAAAUCAAAUUACUCCCUUAUAGGAGUUAUUUUUAGGAAAACUUUGACACCAACCUCGAACUCAAGAUCCUUCAUCCUGUUAUCUACAUAACUUUUCUCUCGAUCUUGGAUAGUAUUUGUUCUAGCCCAAAUAUUCUCAAUAGCUUAGAUUGUUCACUCAAUAAAUUCAAGCCCUCGAGUUUUUCGCUAACCAACUUCAUUAGGAGCUAGAGAUCUACACCUUCUACCAUACAAAGCCUCAUAAGGAGCCAUUCUAAUGGUAAAGCAAGAGGAUCAACCACAACGACGUAGUAUUUUUCGAUCAUUAUGUAUUGUCAAUAGGAAAGUUUGUGACCUGAUCGUUGAGAAUGGAAGUUGUGACAAUUUUGUGGCCAAGAAGUUGGUAGAACAUUUGAGGUUGCCCACAGAGGCUCACCCCUCACCUUAUUUGAUCAGCUGGGUGAAGAAAGGGCCAACAGUGAGAGUAACAGAGGUUUGCAGAGUUCCUAUUUCGAUCGGAAAACAUUAUAAAGAAGAAGUUGCUUGUGAUGUUAUAGAUAUGGACGCUAGUCAUGUUCUACUGGGAAGGCCUUGGCAAUAUGAUGUUGAUGCAACAUAUAAAGGUAGGGAGAACGUAUACUUGUUUACUUGGGAAGGCCAUAAAAUUGCUAUGAUUCCUUCGAAAGAUUCUGACAAUAAACCCAAAACUUCUAAAGUGGAGGGACAAUCCUUUUUAACAGUGGCUAGUACUGAGAAUGAGUUUGAACUUGAAGUAAAGGAGACUCGAGAAAUGCACGUAGUAGUAGUUAAAGCUCUCAUUGAAGAUGCUCAUAGAAGUAUAGUGAACGAGGUGCCUACUAAGGUAAAACCAUUAUUGGGAGAAUUUCAGGAAUUAUUAUCUAAUGAUUUGCCUGAUAAGCUGCCACCUAUGAGGAAUAUUCAACAUCAAAUAGACUUGGUACCUGGAGCAAGUCUACCAAACAUCCCUCAUUAUCGUAUGAGCCCACAGGAGAAUGAGAUCUUACGAGCAAAGGUGGAAGAGUUGUUAAGGAAGGGAUUUAUUUGUGAAAGCAUAAGUCCUUGUGUCGUACCGACUUUAUUGACACCAAAGAAGAAUGGGAGUUGGCGUAUGUGCAUAGAUAGUCGGGCUAUAAAUAAAAUAACGGUGAGAUAUAGAUUCUCUGUACCUUGCUUGGAUGAUAUGUUGGAUAUGUUGGAAGUUGUUUUCCAAAAUUGAUUUGCGGAGCGAGUACCACCAAAUUCGAAUUCGGCCAGGGGAUGAAUGGAAAACUGCUUUCAAGACAAAGGAUGGCUUAUAUGAAUGGAUACUCAUGUCUUUCGGGUUGACAAAUGCACCAAGCACCUUCAUGAGACUUAUGAAUCAGGUAUUGAAACCAUUUGUUGAGAGGUUCGUGGUAUUUUAUUUUGAUGAUAUUUUAAUUUAUAGUAAAGAAGAGAUGGAGCAUUUGGGUCACCUAAAGGAAGUUUUAGUGGUAUUACAAGAAAAUAAGCUGUUUGUUAACCUUAAAAAGUGUAGUUUUUUAACCAGCAGCUUAUUAUUUUUGGGAUAUGUGGUGAGUACUGAUGGUAUUCAAGUCGAUGAGGAAAAGGUGAGAGCUAUACAGGAGUGGCCUACUCCAAAAACAGUAACUGAGGUUCGUAGCUUUCAUGGAUUAGCAACAUUUUAUCGAACAUUUAUCCGAGAUUUCAGUUUUAUUGUCGCCCCAAUAACAGAAUGUUUAAAGAAGGGAAAGUUUAAUUGGGGAAGCAAAGAAGAUGAGAGUUUUACCAGGAUUAAAGAAAAAUUAUGUAGUGCACCUGUGUUGACUUUACCAUCCUUUGAUAAACUCUUUGAAGUUGAGUGUGAUGCUUGUGGAGUUGGAGUUGGUGUAGUCUUAUCUCAAAAUGGGAGACCAGUGGCAUUUUUAGUGAGAAGCUCAGUGAGGCAAGGCAGAAAUGGUCUACAUAUGAUCAAGAAUUUUACGCUAUUGUGAGGGCUUUAAAGUACUGGGAACAUUACUUAGUGCAGAGGGAAUUUAUCCUUUAUACCGAUCACCAGGCUUUAAAGUUUUUGAAUAGUCAGAAACACUUGAGUAACAUGCAUGCUCGGUGGUCUACCUAUUUACAGAAGUUUCCUUUUGUCAUUAAACACAAAUCAGGCACUCUUAAUAGGGUCACUGAUGCUCUGAAUCGUAGGGCAUCCUUACUUGUGACUAUGCGUCAAGAGGUAGUCGGAUUUGAAUGCUUGAAAGAGUUAUUCUACAGAUGAAGACUUCAAAGACACUUGGGAGAAAUGUUUAGCAAAACAACCGGUAGGCGAAUAAUUUGUGUAUGAUGGAUAUUUGUUCAGUGGCAAUCGUUUAUGCAUUCCUCGAGUUUCCCUACGUGAGAAGCUUAUUUGAGACUUGCAUGGAAGUGGACUUAGUGGACAUUUGGGCAAAGACAAAAUAGUGGCUCUUCUAGAAGAGAGAUAUUAUUGGCCUCAAUUGAAAAGAGAUGUGGGAAAUUUUGUGAGAAAAUGUUAUGUAUGCCAAACAGCAAAGGGACAACACAGAACACAGGACUCUAUACUCCUCUACCUGUUCCUAACGAUAUUUGGGAAGAUCUAUCUAUGGAUUUUGUAUUACGUCUACCUCGUACACAAUGAGGAGUAGACUUGGUGUUUGUUGUGGUUGAUAGAUUUUCCAAGAUGGUGCAUUUCAUCCCUUGCAGAAAGACAUCUGAUGCCUCUCACAUUGCAAGACUAUUCUUUAGAGAGAUUGUUCAACUACAUGGAGUUCCACAAUCCAUUACCUCCGAUAGGGAUUCUAAAUUCCUAAGUCAUUUUUGGAUUACCUUGUGGAAGAUGUUUAAUACUUCCUUGAAGUUCAGUAGCACUGCUCACCCACAGACAGAUGGACAAACGGAAGUGGUUAAUAGAAAGCUUGGAAAUUUGAUUUGGUGUAUUUGUGGGGACAAGCCAAGGCAAUGGGAUCAUGCCUUACCACAAGUUGAAUUUGCUUACAAUAAUGCAACCCAUAGUGCUACUGGUAAGUCACCAUUUUCAUUGGUAUAUCUUAAGCAGCCACGACAUGCAGUAGGUCUCGUACGCUUACCUUAGAUACAAGGGAAGAGUAUUGCAGCAGAGAACAUGGCAGAACAAGCUCAGGCCGUACAAGCACAGGUCAAGCAGAGGUUGGAAGAAACUAAUGCCAAGUAUAAAGCAGCAGUAAAUAAACAUCUUCGGCAUAAGGAGUUUCAAGAAGGGGACAUGGUGAUGGUGUUCUUGCGCAAGGAAAGGUUUCCAGUUGGAAUCUAUAACAAGCUCCAACCAAAGAAGUACGGGCCAUAUAAAGUCUUGAAGAAGAUCAAUAGCAAUGCUUAUGUUAUUGAUUUACUAGAAGAUAUGGAGAUCUCAAAGACCUUUAAUGUUGCUGAUUUAUAUGAUUAUCAUUGUCAAGAAGAACCCCUUUAUCCCAACAGUAACUCGAGGGCGAGUUCUUCUCAAGUAGAGAGGAACUGAUGUAGAACAACCUGCCUUAAUUACCUGAGUUAUUUAGACUUGAAGAAAGUCAGGAAGGAAGCCAGGAGAUUUCUGUUUACAGCAUCAGCAUACGUUUUUCUUAUUUUUUAUUCUAGUUGGACUAUGUUCUAAUUUAUUUCCUACAUAUUUAAUUGGGCUAUGUUUUAAGACUUUUUUUUUUUGGGCUUUGUUAGGUUUAUUAUGUAGCCUAUUUAAAGACCUUUUAAACCAUUUAGAAGGAUUAUUAUUAUUUGCCGUCAAAUUUUUAUCACAGGUUUUUUUUUUCUGGUGGAUUCUAGUUUUCAUUGGAAUUAAUGUUUGUUAAUUCAACUUCUUGUCGUCCAUUGAGUCAAUUAGCCUUGGCGAUUUCUUGCUGAAUUUGGCUUAUAUGAGUCCAAAUUUCUUGUUUCAAUUUCAUGUACACCC